UAUUGGUCAAUAGCCUAAGAGGCUGAACCAGCAACUUGGAGGAAUGAAUGGGGAAAACUGGUAAAAUGUGAUGUACCUGGUAGUAUUAGAGGUUAAUAUGAUAUUAGUAAAGCUAAUUAAAAUUCUAUGUAGAUAUUUGAUUAUGACAAUAUAUGCUUAUUUCUUGACCAAGUCACGUGCCAGCAGUCGCGGCAAUACGUGGUAGAUUAGUGUUAUUCAUCUUUAAUAGGUUUAAAGGGUACCUAGACGGUUAAUUAGACAUAAAAGUGUACUAUAUUUGACUAGAGUUUAAUGUAAGAAGGAUUGAGUACGGUGAGUGUAGGGAUAAAAUUCUGUCAUACCACUUAAGGAACUGGUAAAGGCGAAGGCAACCUUUNAUGUAAAACUGACGUWAGGACGAAGGCUCGAAAAAGUAACAGGAUUAGAUACCCUAGUAUUGUGGGCAGACANUGAUGAGUGUCAUAUGCAAGAAUAAGANUAGGACUCUGUUAAAARUAAAUCAAAAGGUACAUUAUGAAAGCUAGUGUACAACGGCGAUGAGUCCAUUAUUUUGUGUAUAAAUGAAAGUGUAAGCACUCCACCUCAAGAGUAACGUGGCAACAUGGGAACUGAAAUCAUUAGACCGUUUCUGAAACUCGUAGUGAAGUAUGUUGUUUAAUUUGAUUGCCCUCAAAGAACCUUACCACAAUUUGUAUAACUUGAAUAAGAGAUAUUAUCUCAUGUAUAAGUAACAGGCGUUGCACGGCUGUCUUCAGUUAAUGUUGUGAAAUUUUGGUUAGAUCCAUUUAAUUGACGUAAACCCUUGCUUUAUUUAUUAUAAAGCAGUUCGCCGCUAUAUUGGUAGUGAUAUAAGGGACUAGGACAAGUCAUCAUGACCCGAACAUUGUGGGCU
rnacentral:rRNA from 1 species